GACGAACGCUGGCGGCGCGCUUAACACAUGCAAGUCGAGCGAUGAAAUUUCGACAGAUUGCUUCUGGGUGAAGUUGAAAUGGAUUAGCGGCGGACUGGUGAGUAACACAUUAUUAACCUGCCUUUGACAUUGGGAUAGCCUCGGGAAACUGGGAUUAAUACCAAAUGACACUAACUGAUCACAUGAUCAAUUAGUCAAAGAAAUUCGGUCAAAGAUGGACUCGCAGCUGGUUAGCUAGAUGGUGAGGUAACGGCCCACCAAUGGGACGACCAGUAGACGGGAACAGAGGGUGAUUCGACACAUUGGAGCUGAGACACAGUGCAAAAUACUACGGGAGGCAGCAGUGCGGAAUAUAGCAAAACCGGGGAAACGAUGAAGCAGCGAGGGCGCGUGAGCGCAGAAGGCCUUAAAGAAGUACAGCUCUUUUAUGACGGACGAUAAUGACGGUACCUAAAGAAAAAGCCCCGGCUAACUUCGUG
rnacentral:rRNA from 1 species